rnacentral:ncRNA from 2 species
GGUCAAGAGUUCCAGCGUCAAGCCCCGGCUCGCUGGACGGCAACCCUCCUCCGCGGUGGGGUGCUCCGGGUGACGACCUGGCCGACGGCUCCAACCGGCGUCGGCAAGCGCGGACU